CAGUAGCCGCGGUAAUACGGAGGAUCCAAGCGUUAUCCGGAAUCAUUGGGUUUAAAGGGUCCGUAGGCGGUCUUGUAAGUCAGUGGUGAAAGCCCAUCGCUCAACGGUGGAACGGCCAUUGAUACUGCAGGACUUGAAUUAUUGGGAAGUAACUAGAAUAUGUAGUGUAGCGGUGAAAUGCUUAGAAAUUACAUGGAAUACCAAUUGCGAAGGCAGGUUACUACCAAUUGAUUGACGCUGAUGGACGAAAGCGUGGGUAGCGAACAGGAUUAGAUACCCCCGUAGUCCCUGUCUCUUAUAC
rnacentral:rRNA from 1 species